UCCUUGGAGGGGCGGGCUGUGAAGGAGAAAGGAAGACAUCUUAUCUGGGGCCGCUGGGGCUGCUGGGCAUACCUUUCAGUCAGGAUCCUGAACUGCUUGAAGCUGAUAGGGUCUGGAAGGCUGGCCUAGGACUGUGGUGUCUGCGGCUGAUCUCACCAGACCUAUUCCUGGUGCCCCAUCUGUAAACUUGGCUGAGUCCCUGUGCCAUCACUAACUGGCUAUGACCUUGGGCAAGUUGCUCCCCCUAUUUCCUCUCUGAUAAACAUAUGGCUGGUUUGGGACCAGCCUGCAGGAUGCACUUCCUUUAUGACUUCAAGCAAUGGCUCAUUUGAGACCUCUGACCCAAAUUCAGUAGGAGAGUCCCUGCCAGGAUCAGUCAAUGAUGACUGUGAUGGCCAGGAAGAGGAGGUCUGAUGACAAAGGACCAUUUUUGCCAUCUUGGACUAGAUGAGUGGUAAGGUCCCUUUUAGCUUAUUCUUCACAAACUACUAGAAGUCAGGACAGCAUAUUCUGUGCAAGCUGCUCCAGGGGUCUGCUGCCCCUGAGCCUUUCCUUUCCUGCAGAAAGCAGGGAGGGAUCAAGUUUUGGCCAUACCCUUUGGGUCCCAGACACACAGAUUCCAAGUGGGGUCACAUUUUAUUGGAAUAGAUUUUACUGGAGACCUCUAGAGUGGCAAGCACAGAAGAGCUGCCCUGAUUUCCAGGCAAGAAAAAUAAUAUAGAGGGCCCCUCUAUCCCUCCAAGACUAUGUACCAGGCAACGUGCAAAAGACUUCCCAUGAGUAACACUGAGGUAGAGAAGGAAGAGAUGGACUGAGAAGGUUAGUUUAGGCGGUCCCCCUGUCAGCUGGCAGGAGGGUGGGGAAGGGCAGGCAGAACAACGGUACAAAUGGACACAUGAGGUAAUGGCCACAUGGUCCCUAUUCUAAAUGCAAGCUAGCUCUGUCCACGGACACUGGGUUACUUGGAAAGCCUGUGUGUCCCCUGCAAAUGGCAACACCAUGAAGCACCCAGAGCCCUGACCUGAGGAUGCAGGAGACAGGGAUGCUUGACCGGAGCAGUGCUUCAACCUCACCAUCAGACACACAUGUUGGAGCCUGAGGACCUGGGUGUGACUCUUAGCCUGACCAGGUCACUGCCAGAUGUCUCCUCCACUGCUGCUCUCUCCCACACAUCUGACUGAGAACACAAGAUAAACAUGGGAGUCGAGGGAGGAAAACACCACCCUGGCCGGGGAGGGGAGCCGUGGGACGGACUGCUGAGGAGUGAGGUCAAGUUUGAAGAAACCCGAAGCCCAGCAGACUCACUUUCUUUGCAUUUGUAACCUUGAAAUGCCAUCUGGGUGAUAUAUG